UUUGUUCAGAGGAUCGCCUGAUUGUGUUCUCUCGGGCUUGAUCCA
rnacentral:rRNA from 1 species